rnacentral:rRNA from 1 species
UAGGGAAUCUUCGGCAAUGGACGAAAGUCUGACCGAGCAACGCCGCGUGAGUGAAGAAGGUUUUCGGAUCGUAAAACUCUGUUGUUAGCGAAGAACAAGGACGUUAGUAACUGAACGUCCCCUGACGGUAUCUAACCAGAAAGCCACGGCUAACUACGUGCCAGCAGCCGCGGUAAUACGUAGGUGGCAAGCGUUGUCCGGAUUUAUUGGGCGUAAAGCGAGCGCAGGCGGUUUCUUAAGUCUGAUGUGAAAGCCCCCGGCUCAACCGGGGAGGGUCAUUGGAAACUGGGAGACUUGGGUGCAGAAGAGGAGAGUGGAAUUCCAUGUGUAGCGGUGAAAUGCGUAGAUAUAUGGAGGAACACCAGUGGCGAAGGCGGCUCUCUGGUCUGUAACUGACGCUGAGGCUCGAAAGCGUGGGGAGCAAACAGG